CCUGAGAUGUGAUGAUGACCGCAUUGGCGGGAAGUGGGUGAUCCUAUGCUGUCGAGAAAAGCAUCUAGCGAGGUUCGAGCCGCCCGUACCCUAAACCGACUCAGGUGGUCAGGUAGAGAAUACUAAGGCGAUCGAGUGAAUCGUGGUUAAGGAACUCGGCAAAAUGCCCCCGUAACUUCGGGAGAAGGGGGGCCUGAGGCGUGACGGCACUUGCUGCUGUGAGCGUUUGAGGGCCGCAGAGACCAGGGAGAAGCGACUGUUUACUAAAAACACAGUCCGUGCGAAGUCGCAAGACGAUGUAUACGGACUGACGCCUGCCCGGUGCUGGAACGUUAAGGGGACCGGUUAGACCUUCGGGUCGAGGCUGAGAACUUAAGCGCCAGUAAACGGCGGUGGUAACUAUAACCAUCCUAAGGUAGCGAAAUUCCUUGUCGGGUAAGUUCCGACCUGCACGAAUGGCGUAACGACUUCUCCGCUGUCUCAACCGCGAACUCGGCGAAAUUGCAUUACGAGUAAAGAUGCUCGUUACGCGCAGCAGGACGGAAAGACCCCGGGACCUUUACUAUAGCUUGGUAUUGGUGUUCGGUACGGCUUGUGUAGGAUAGGUGGGAGACGGUGAAGCUGGCACGCUAGUGUUGGUGGAGUCAAUCUUGAAAUACCACUCUGGUCGUUCUGGAUGUCUAACCUCGGUCCGUGAUCCGGAUCAGGGACAGUGCCUGGUGGGUAGUUUAACUGGGGCGGUUGCCUCCUAAAGAGUAACGGAGGCGCCCAAAGGUUCCCUCAGCCUGGUUGGCAAUCAGGUGUCGAGUGUAAGUGCACAAGGGAGCUUGACUGUGAGACCGACAGGUCGAGCAGGGACGAAAGUCGGGACUAGUGAUCCGGCAGUGGCUUGUGGAAGCGCUGUCGCUCAACGGAUAAAAGGUACCCCGGGGAUAACAGGCUGAUCUUGCCCAAGAGUCCAUAUCGACGGCAUGGUUUGGCACCUCGAUGUCGGCUCGUCGCAUCCUGGGGCUGGAGUAGGUCCCAAGGGUUGGGCUGUUCGCCCAUUAAAGCGGUACGCGAGCUGGGUUUAGAACGUCGUGAGACAGUUCGGUCCCUAUCCGCUGCGCGCGUUGGAAACUUGAGAAGGGCUGUCCCUAGUACGAGAGGACCGGGACGGACGAACCUCUGGUGUGCCAGUUGUCCUGCCAAGGGCACCGCUGGUUAGCUACGUUCGGAAGGGAUAACCGCUGAAGGCAUCUAAGCGGGAAGCUCGCUUCAAGAUGAGGUUUCCAUGCACCCUCGAGGUGUGUGAGGCUCCCAGCUAGACUACUGUUGAUAGGCCGGAUGUGGAAGCGAGGACUGAAGACUCGUGAAGCUGACCGGUACUAAUACGCCGAUGACUUACUACA
rnacentral:rRNA from 1 species